GGCGUGCCCCGCUUAAUGUUUUUGAAAAUCACGGUCGAUUAAUGUGAGAAAAGUACUUACACCGGGGCUUUUUCUGGAUGGUAGCGUCCCACUGGAAGGAUCCGCUCACUCUGACAUUUCCACCACAAUGUCUCAGUCAGAGACGUGUUGCAUUUGUGGGGUGAGGUUUGUGAGGGGGCCCAAGGGUUACAACAGGAGGAAAGUCACCACGCUGACCAGCCCCAAGACCUUCCAGCUAGUCUUUGACAUCACUCCUGAUGACUCAUCCUUCCUCUGCUGGGUCUGUCUGGGUGUGCUCAGAAGGAAAACCAAGCAGGAUGGGAAGCUUUGGACUUGGUCAGAUUUGCCAACAAAAGUUGGCAGACAUCGAAAGCCCCGUGCCGAAAUACCAAGCUCAUCCACAACAUUAUCCAAUCAAACUCCAAUUAUAACCAACCCAUCCUCGUUAUCCAUAGAGGAGUGCAUUGCUUCUAAAAAAAACAAACGGAGGCCAGUUCGUCAGUGGGACGGAGAGAAAUGGACCACCUUGACUUCUCGUUCCCCAGAAUCCCAUUCAACGGCCAUCAGACGACCUCAAACGCACAUAGCCCCAACCACACACUCCUCUUCAACACCAUCAAAUCAAGUAAAUUCCUCCACAUUAUCAAGUCAAACUUCAAAUCAGAUCAGUUCUCUGUUCUCCUUUGGAGAGAGGACAACAAAAAGACGUCCGAAGGCACCCCAACCUACAACACACUCCACACUCCUGUCUCCGUUCCCCGUUGACGAAGGUAUAAGGCCCAAGAAGAAGAAGCUCCCUUUCUCCAAGACUAAGCAGAGCUAUGGGUUUGGCCCUCAUGCCAAGGCCCUGCAUUACAUGCACAGCCACCAGCACCUGAAGGCCUUCAGGUCCCUGAUGAAGACCAAAGCUAGAGAAGCCAUGACCAUUUUCCUCGCCGAGGUCAUUGCCCAGGAGAGUAAGGUAUUGAUGAAGGACCAACGUGGGCCAUUGCGUCAGCCGCUGACUGAGGCGAGUGUGAGUGGAUUUUCCUGGGACGCGGUUCUAGUGUGGGGGGAAGAAAAGGCCCCUAUGACCCUGGCCUGUCUUAGGGCCAUGUUCCCCAAACCCAACCCCAUCAGGACGCAGGUUAUGAUGGGAGCAAGGGAAAUUAAACGCCCGAGGACAGAAGAGGCAGCAGGUGAUAUGGUCAGCCAGAGGGCGGGGCUUAUCCUGGCCAUCGUCCUCUACACCUCCAUGCAGAAGUGCAACUUCAUCCAGGCCUCUCUGGGGGUCGAGUUCUGGAAACAGGGCUGUCCUCUCAGCGUGUUGAAAGCCCUCAGUGCCCUGGGGGUGUGUCCCGGUGCUGCCUCUACCAGGAGACACGCAGAGAGGCUGACAACCGGCUUUGAUCCACCUCAGCAGGACCGGACAGAGGGGGUGGAGGAACCUGGGGACUCCUUUUGUAGAUCUGAGGAUGAGAGUCGGACUCUGAGUUGUUCUGAAGAGUAUCCCAGUUCCUCUCCGACACACUCUCUGAACCCGUUCUCAGACCAAUCCCACUCCAGAGACGGGUCCUCGUCCGAUCGGAGUUCCAGACCUGACUCCAGAUCUUGCUCCAGGAGCGACGACUACCAAGGCCCUACUCAGAGGCCUGACUCCCGGGAGUACCAGAAUCUGAUCAAAGAACAUGGUUACCACAAAGUCCAGAAACCUACUUUGAGUCGAUGGACGAAGAACAGUGAGGACAAAAGGGAGGCAAAGGAAAAACCUGUUCAAAAUCUCAAGAGAAGGAAGAUGACGAAAAAGAAACCUGCUCAAUCGCCUCCAGUAGUAAACGCAACUGGCGCGCACCGUUCAGACACGGAGACUUCUCAUAUAAUUAAGGUAAACAUGGAACCCGUUCAAACGUCUCAAAUAGACAACACACACGUGGAACUCGUUCAAAUGUCUCAAGUAGACAACACACACGUGGAACCCGUUCAAACGUCUCAAAUAGACAACACACACGUGGAACCCGUUCAAACGUCUCAAGUAGACAACACACACGUGGAACCCGUUCAAACGUCUCAAGUAGACAACACACACGUGGAACCCGUUCAAACGUCUCAAGUAGACAACACACACGUGGAACCCGUUCAAUUGAGCGAUACAAACAAGAAACCUGCUCAUAUAAGUGAGACAAAUGUACAACCUGCUCAAAUGUCUGUAAUGGGCGAGACAAACAUGGAACAAAUUAAAAUGCCCAAAAGAGGCAGGCCAGGGAAGGAACUUGCUCAAAUGUCUGUAAUAAGCAGGACAUGCAUGGAACAAAUGAAGAUUCCUAAAAGAGGCAGGCCAAGGAAGGAACUUGCUCAAAUGUCUAUAAUGAGCGAGACAAACAUGGAACAAAUUAUAAUGCCCAAAAGAGGCAGGCCAAGGAAGGAACUUGCUCAAGUAAGUAAAACAAACAUAGAACACACUCAAACUCCACAAAUAACCGACACACACUUGGAACCUGCUCACAAGCUCAGAAGUCCAAGGAAGAAACCUGUCCAAACGCCCCAGGUAACUGACACACAAAACAAACCCAUUCAAGUAAGCAAUCCAGACAUUAAACUUGCUGAGACAAAUAAAGAAUCUGUUGUACAGGCCAAGAAUGGGAGGCCAAAGAAGGGAUUUGUUCAAAUUCCACUAUUAACCGACACUUGCAUGAAACCCAUUCCGGUAAGCGAGGUAAACGCGGACACCACUUUAAUGCCCAGUAGCAUGAGAUCAAGGAAGAGACCCAGACAAGUUCCCCAAGUAUACGGCACAAACCAAGAACUAACUCAAAUGCCCAGAAUAACCCAAACCAACAAGGAACCCUCCGAAAUGCUUCAGAAAAUGGACACACGCAUGGCACCUGCUGUAACAUCUAAAAGAGGGCGGACAAGGAAGGGACCAAUUGAAAUGUCCCAAGAAACCGACUUACACACAGAAGCCGGUCUAAUGCCUCAAGUUGGUGAAAUUAAUCGGCAACGUAUCGAAGGACGGGAAACAAAUAAAGGACCCGCUGAACCCCAAAAACUCGCUGGAAAGGCUAAAGUAAAUCAGACAACGAAAGUACCUGCAAAGACACCUGAAACACUAGAUCAAAUGAAAUUUAUUCCAAAGCGCAAAAGAGGCAGGCCAAGGAAAGAACUUGCUCAAGUGAUCAACACAGGCAAGGAAACCCCUUCAAUGCAUAAAAUAAGCAAAACAGGCAAAGAAUCUGCUCUUACCCGGGAGAUAAAAAUUAUUGUCAAUAGGAUGGAAAGCUGUAGUGCAGCUGAAAUGCCCCAAAUACGUGAGAUGAACAAUGAACCUGUUCAAGUAAGUGCAGAAAACUUUGAACCUGUUCAAAGACUGAGUGGGGGGUCAAUGGAGGGACUCGUUCAAAUGCCCCAAUUAAGCUGCACGGACAUGGAACCUGGUAAGUUAGGCAGGACCAUCAUGGAAACCACUUCAACGGCAGAGAGGACUGACAAAGAACCUGUUCGAAGGCCUCAAGCAAACGAAACAAAAGCAGAACUUGCUCAAACGUCUCAGAUAAUGGAAACGAUAAAGGAACACAUUCAAGUAACCAACACAGACAAGGAAACCGCUUCCGCGCCCAAAAGAUGCUGCACAGACAUGGAACUUGCUAAAAGGUACAAAAUGAGUGACUUUCAGACCCGGGUAAUAAGAAUAGUUGACACUAGAAUGAGGGCAAACAAAUCUGUUUCAAUGCUUCAAGUACACGACACAAACCAGGACCCUGAACCUGCUGCAACACCUGAAAUAGGCAACACAAACAAACAACCCACACGAGUGAUCAGAAUAGUUGUUAACAGGAGGAUACCGGCAGACAUAUGUAGUCACACCCGGAAAAGCCUGGAGUGCCUGGCUGAGGUAGCGGCCAAAUGUGCUCCAUUAGAUGUUAAAUCUGCCGAAGAGGAUGGAUAG
rnacentral:lncRNA from 13 species